UCCACAAGAAAUUCUUUGUGCACCGCGAGCAGAACACACACAUUACCCACGGUGAUUGGCUCACACGCGGAGCCGGAGCGCUGUACACGAAAAAAAAAAUUUUUUUGAUCCCAUGUGUGAACCAAUCACCAUAAGCGGAAUGCGCGGUUUUGCACCAUCCACAUCUACAGUGCACAAAGAAUUUCACAGCACCCCACAUAUCCGUGUGCUGCAACCUGGGCUCGGAUCCGGGAUAUUUGGGCCAUGCACCUGGGUAUU
rnacentral:lncRNA from 1 species